UGCUACAUGUAGGGAAAAUUCCCUACACGUAGGGAUUUAAGUCGAAAAAAAUGGACGUGGGGAAAAAAGGACAGAUUUUUAUAUAUAAGUAAAAUGUAGGGAUUUUCCGACAAAGCAAAAUCGAAAUUUCUAUGUAAUUUUUUUUCGGUCAAAAUACAAAUAAGUCUAUUUGGCAACUUUUUAUCAAGAAUAUGUUCGAAUGGCAGCAUUAAAUCGGUUUCAACUUCACGUUGUCAAAGGCAACACUCUGAAAAAGUGUUUGUAUGGCAACAUGCUGGCGUCGCAUAUAAUUCGUUUGCCGCUUUUUAAUUUGAUUGCUGACUUUUUGUGAGAAAUGAGUUCUUCAACAGAAUCGGACGAGAGUAUUGCAAAGAGCCGCAAAUAUCGUAAACAAAAGUUUACAAAUAAAUAGCUAGGAGACGAAAGAUUCAAGGUUUGGUUACAAGCUUUGGCCGGUGAGUCGUUUAAAUGCAAAUGCGCUGCCUGCAACAAAAUUUUAAAUUGCGGCAAGUCUGAUUUAUUGAAACACGCAGAAACAAAAGCACACCAGAAAAAUGUAAAAGCCAUAAGCAAAACGAGCAAAUUGAAUACGUUUUUUAAGAGAAACGUAAAUGCAGAAGGGGAUAUAGAUAAAAAAAAAUUUGAAAUAAGACUCAGCAUGUUUUUCGCUGAACACAAUGUCGCUUUGACAGUGGUAGAUCACCUAAUCCCACUUUUGAAAGAAAUAGUGCCGGAUUCUGAAAUUAUAAAAAAUGUUGAUCUUGGGAGGAAAAAGUGCACCAGCAUAAUAAAAAAUGUAGUAGCAAAAGAAGAAAAGGACAACUUGGUAAAUAAGUUAAAAGUAAACCCGUUUUCCGUAAUGAUCGACGAGAGCACAGAUAUCGGCCUCAAUAAGCAUAUGUGCAUCCUGGCCAGGUUUUACGACGAAGAAAAGGGACGAGUUGUGGUAAAGUUGUUGGAUCUACUACCAAUAGGAGCUGAUUGCACUGCAGAUGCUCUAUAUAAGACUUUUAAGGAAUUAAUUUUAUCCCUAGGAAUUCCAUUUAAUAACAUAAUUGGCAUGUGCAGCGACGGCGCAAAUGUUAUGGUCGGGAAAUGCAAUUCAUUCGCUUCCAGGUUGAUUAAUGACAUUCCAAACGUGGUCGUUGUAAAAUGUAUUUGCCAUUCGGCAGCAAUUAUUGCAAGUAAAGCUUGCUUAGCACUGCCAAGAGCACCCGAAGAUCUUUUGCGGCAAAUCGGUUCGUAUGUCUCUGGAAGUUCCAAGAGAUGUGCGCAAUUGGAAGCUGUGCAGGAAAUGUUAGGUGGGAGGAAAAAAAAAAUCCUAAGGAUGUGUGCAACUAGAUGGAUGUCACAUCAUAGGUCAA